CACGAACUGCCAGAUCAUGACCUGAGCUGAAGUCUGAUGCUUAACGGACUGAGCCACCCAGGCAUCCCCUUGCUAUUUUUUUCAAUCCCCAUAACACUUUAUUGCUGGGAUGUGCCUUGAUUUAUUUAACGAAUUCUCUAUUGGUGGGCACUUAGACUUCCAGUCUUUUGCAAUUAAACAUCGAUCCAUUUGGCAGUGACUGAGUAUAUGGGAUGAGUGAUGGAUCCAAAUUCUUUUUCUUCCAGAUGGCUACACGGUUUGCCACUUAUUGGCCAUUUGUUGAAGGGUUCACUUGUAGACUCUGCAUUUUGUUCCAAUGAUCUAUCUAUUCAUGCUCUAGUUGCUGGCUUGUUUUUAAAUCCAGAGACAUAAACUCUUGUCAGGGAUAGUGUUUCACACUUUGUUUGGAUCACUAGAAAUCUUGGAGCUAAUAUUUCAGCCCAUGUUAAGCAACGGUAUAGUGCCAUGUGGUAUGCAUUUUCGGUGGGCAAAUUUUUUUAUUUUCCCUCUGCCCUGAUUAUUUCCAUAAUUUGUUUUCUUUUUUGUAGGACAAGUCAGGAUACAAAUAUACCUUUGCUUAAGACUCUUUGUUUGCAAGUAACAGAAACCAACCUGAAGUAGCUUAACCAAAAGGGAAGAACUGUAUCAUAAGGUUGCAGACGCUUCUCACAGAAGCCGGGAGCAGGAAUACAGCUGCAGCAAAGGAGUAGACCCAGGAGUUGGAAAGCUUUCAGGAACUCAAAGUGACUGGUUCUCUCUGCUUUUCCAUCUACUCAGGAGAAUACAGUCGUCCCACUAUUCAGCUAGGAAGUCAGCCGAGCGUGGAGAUCAGAGCCAAAACAAGGAAGCUCUGUCCGCUGAAAGAACCCUGGAGCAGCAGCCCUAUGUCCAGGAGAACACCUGACACCCAGCUUGAAACACCAUCUUCUGCUAAAAGGAACCGGGAAUCCUUGAAGAAAUACCUGAUUUCACGGUUGGGACAGAGAAAGCGUAAGUGAGCCUGGACCUUCUUGUCGUGCCAGAAAACAUGAAAAUGCUCGAAGAGUGAAGGAGACAUUUCAAAACAACAACAUAGUCCGUUUGAAGGGACUCCCGCUGGCCAAAUCUGGGAAAUUGGAACAUCAAAAUAAAUGAUGAUAGUAGGAGA